GGCGGGGUAGCUCAGUUGGUUAGAGCGUCGGAUUCAUAACCCGGAGGUCUGGGGUUCGAUUCCCCAUCCCGCUA
rnacentral:tRNA from 1 species